ensembl:lncRNA novel transcript, sense overlapping GPATCH2L
CUUCCCCCAUGAUCUCCUUGCAGCCUGCCCACACUGGCCUUAGGGUGACUUUCUGGAGAGGCAAGCAUCUUCAUGUGAGACCUGCCAAAGGGUGUAUACCUUCUCAAAAGACCCUGCAGUUUCUUCUCCAAUGUGGACAACGCUGAGCAUAUGAUCUUUCGGUGUCUAUCUGCACUUUCUUUGACCUCUGGUCAUUGUUGGUGAAAGCUAAGGAGCAAGUAGGAGUUCUCAAGAUGAAAUGGAUGAAUCACCCGAAGGGAUACCAUUUGAGUUCUGGGAGAGCUGCCUGCCGACUUCACAAAGACGUAUUCCUCUCAUUAAUGACUGUUAGUGUAGCAUCAUGCAAUGCUCCUGAGAAACUGCAGAAAUAGUAAUGACCAUGUGAUGGCCAAGGCUGAUUGGAAGAUGCUCCUGGGGAGAGAUGAAGUUUGGAUUUACAGCAUCAGCAUGAAGGAGUUGCAAGCAUUGGUGUUGUAAACCGCACUGGCACCUGACACUAAAUGUGGGAAAGGGAUGGGGU